ACAUAAUAAAGGAUAGACGCCGCAUUAGCUAUUGGAGCGCGAGAAAUGCGGCCGCCAUAUUGGACCGGUAGCUAAUCAGAUAGUACGCAGCCAAACAACAAGAAGCCAGAGUUUGU